rnacentral:rRNA from 1 species
CCAAUAGCGUAUAUUAAAGUUGUUGCAGUUAAAAAGCUCGUAGUUGAAUUUCGGGAUCAAAUUGUCGGUCGUGCCUCGGUACGCACUGGUAUUAUUGGUUCCUACCUUCUGAAGAACCGCGAUGUCAUUAAUUUGGUGUCGUGGGGAAUCAGGACUGUUACUUUGAAAAAAUUAGAGUGUUUAAAGCAGGCUUACGCUUGAAUACAUUAGCAUGGAAUAAUGAAAUAGGACGUUUGAUUCUAUUUUGUCGGUUUCUAGGAUCGACGUAAUGAUUAAUAGGGAUAGUUGGGGGCAUUAGUAUUCAAUUGUCAGAGGUGAAAUUCUUGGAUUUAUUGAAGACUAACUACUGCGAAAGCAUUUGCCAAGGAUGUUUUCAUUAAUCAAGAACGAAAGUUAGGGGAUCGAAGACGAUCAGAUACCGUCGUAGUCUUAACCAUAAACUAUGCCGACUAGGGAUCGGAUGAUGUUAAUUUUUUAAUGACUCAUUCGGCGCCUUACG